GGCUUCCACAUAUGAAUUUGGGAGGUGAGGGGAUACAAGCAAACAUUCGUCUACAGCACUUGUCCAAUUGCCUUGGCUAGAACUUCCAGCACAAUGCUAAAUAGAAGUGAGAUGAGGUCUGUGUUGCCCGGUCUGGUCUUGAGCUUCUGGCCUCAAGAGAUCCUCCUCCCUCGGCUUCAUAAAUUGCUGGGAUAAAAGACAUGAGGCACUGUGCCUGGCCUGUAAUUAAAUAAUGGUAUUUCAACUUCCAGAAA